GAGGGUAGAGCUCAGUGGUAGAGCGUGUGCUUAGCAUGCACAAGGUCCCGGCUUCAGUCCCCAGCACCUCCA
rnacentral:tRNA from 1 species